UGCUGCCCUCAGGAUCUCCCGGCCCCUCUCGUCCAGGCCCCUGCAACCCCAUGCCCCAGCCUCUGAGGACCAAAGGCGCCCCUGCUUGGGAAGAGGGGGCUCAGGGGAGUCGCCUGACCCGGUUCCAAGCCAGGCUGAUUUACCGUUGCUAACAUCCUAUCGCACGCAUCCCUCUGCCUCAUGCACCCAACCCCAAGGCCUGGUACACUGCAGGCCCCAAGGUCCUGUGCGUCCUUUCAAUACCCUCCUCACCUGCCUCACCUGCCCCCCCUACCCUGACUCUGGCUGGAGACCCCCUCCAGGGAGUUUUCAAAACAAAGGGUGUCAGUCUCCUGUGGGAUUCCCUCACCUCUGCAGCCUGCGGUCUGAAAGCUGCCCCAUGGUGUGUAGUGCUAAACUUCCAACUUACUCCAGGCCAGCGGUGACAGCCCGAGGGCAGGAAGGGCACCCACACUGAGCCUCAAACAGCUAAUUUUGCAACUGUGCCCGGCUCAGAGUGUCCCCUACAAGGCUACUGGAGGAGAACCCCAGACCGAGCCUCAUUCAGGGGGUCUCGGUUUCCUCAUUUGCAAACUGGAGCUCAUAAGGUGGGCCAGAGAAGUUUCAGUGAAGUGAGGAAUGGAUCGUCCCUCUGCCAGGGCCCAUGUGCUCUAGGUCACCCUGUCAUCACAGGGACAGGGAGGUCAAGGACAGUCACUCCUGAGGCCAGUCCGGGCUGGGCUGACCACGUGGACUCUCAUGCCCAGAUUGGGGCCCCAAUCUCCCUGAAGCUGGGGCUCCAGCUGUGACUCAGGGGUGGGCAGAAGGGGAGACAGAAGCGAUAGGUUCCUCAG